rnacentral:lncRNA from 1 species
CCACAUUUUACAAAGAGGGAAAAGUUAAAACUAUAACUGGGAAUCUAGACUAUAAACACUUGUGAUCCGAUAUCCAAUUGACUCCAAUAUACUUUAUAAGUUAUACCUGAAAAAUAUUCAACAGAGUGGGAUGAGAUACUAUGAUCUCAAUGAAUUCCUAAAUUCGGGAUAAAACAUAGUAUGCAAAUUAUGAUAAAACUCGGGAUAAAUUGUAGUUAUGUCCUUAGAGUAACUAUUCGUUUAAAGGAAAUACACAUCAACAUUUUAAAAGUAAAUACAAAAUAAAAAAACCAAAACCUUAAUCCUAAAAACCAAACAAAUGUUUCCCACAUAUGGCAAAUGGUCAAGAUUCACAUUUUUUAAUCUCACUUAUUGGAGAAAAAAUAUGUUUGCUAGUGUUCGCUCAGAUCGACUAUAGGUGUCUCUGACAUGACAAGUUAAGGUUUAUCUUGACAAACUAUUUGUGAGGUUAGCAUGAUACUGAAUUUGGUGAUGGUCGUCGUAAGCUCCUUACUCAAAAUAUAGAAUCAACAAAACAGGUCAUUCUAAGGCAUUUCAGUGAACACUUACGGGUACAAACCUAAAACAAACUAAAAAUAACAUAAAAAAGAAAAGAAAAUAAACAUAACAAUAAUAUCAUAAAACCACCAACAAAGACAUCAAAUCUAAAACCAAACAAUGUUGGAGUGGCCAAAACACAAAGAUGCCAUGGUGACUUUGGAGGGGUCUCACUUGGAAGUUGAUUCAGUAAUUGAGGUUGCAAAUUAAUGUAGCGACAAGAUUUAGAUGUAAUGGAUGACGUGAGUAUGAUCAACCAGAGAGGAACUUGUAAUGAUAUGCUGAUGUUGGAUUUAACCAUUAACUAGACAUUGUCGCUCUUCCUCUUCUCUAUUGUCACCGCGUUAAGCAAGACGUAACACAAAAUCGUUGUGGCUGGAGCACCUUGUUAGCAAAAUGAUUUUCAAGAAGAAUUGUUGAAAAUCACGACAAGAAAUUUUUGAGUGACAAAAACUUGUAGAACAAAUGGAAAAAAAGAAGAAAAGAAGAAGCAACUGAAGUACGUGGGAACAAAUACGAGAGCUUGUAGAACCUAUAGAACUUGUCAUGAAACACCUUUCCAUGUUUUCCCAUGUUUGGGUUGAGUUUGGUGGAAGGAAUUAAUACCACAAGAAUGUUGUUCCUAUAACACAAAAAUGAACAUCUAUAACUUGUGGAGCUCAUUAUGGUUUCCCUUACCGCACUGUUCAGUAAACCUUCUGAUGUGCUCCAUAGUUGAUUUUCCAUCUUCCCUUAAGAAUGAAGCAAAGCAUAGAGUUUGAUAACCUAUUGGCAAAUGCACCAAUUUUUUGGUUCAUUUUGGACAUGGCUUCAUACACAUAGUUAGGGCCGUCCCUAGAUAAUUGGAGGCUCGGCUCUCAUAUAAAAAAAGGCCCCUAACAAAAUAAAAAAGAUAUUUUUUUUAAAAGAGUAAUUAUCUAUUUAAAUUGAAAAUAAAAUCCAUCAAGAUUAAGAAAAAAGUGUUUAUUGCAAUUAACACAUAAAAGAUCAAUAUUCUAAUCAAUAAAAUAAAAAUACAAUUUAAGCGAAUAAUUUAUUGUAUAAUAUUUGUUGAGUUUAACUAUCUUAUAGAAUAAGUAUGAGCUAAAAAUUACAAGUGUUCUAACAAAAUAAGAAGAAAAAAAUUUGUAUUAUGUUUUCAUUUGUAAAUAUAUAAUCCAAUAUGUUGAAGAGAAUUUGGCUAAAUUGAUGAGAGGAUAGAUGAACCUCAAAUCUAUAAAAAAAAAUGAUGUCUAAAUCAAAGCUCUCUCAUACUAAAAAUAUUAAUUAAAGAAGCAAAAAGGAAAAGUAAAUAAGAAAACAUAGAACCUGAAUGUUGAACUAGAGACCUAGGCAAUACCAACUUGCAACUAUACCACUAGGCCACUUCCACAAAUAUGAUGUUUAACACUCGCUCUAUAUAUUUAAUAUUUGUUAACUGGGCUAUAAUUUUUUUUAUGAGGCUCAUACCUUGGGGAGGUCCAGCUCCAUUGAGCUGUUUGCACCCCCUAAGGGCCGAGCCUGCAUAUAGUCAUAUCCACAUGUUUCAGUUGUAUCCCAAAAUACCUCUUAAUUGUAUCAGCUAUGAGGUUGAUAUACAACAUUUAUGAUACAUGAUGUCUUACCUCGACUGCAACUAGCUGAUGUGACAUAUUUUCUUGGGGGUUUUGGAAACAUAAGUGGGAUUGAACUUGAAAAGUAUUCUUAUUUAUACUUACUUAUGUGUUUAAAGUCAAGUUUAUGGUAUUAUUUGGAGUUUGAGAAAUAAUUGAGUGGAACUAAAUCACCUUGUACACAAAUGAGUGACCUUGUGAUGUGAGUUCCCAAUUUAUUGAGGACUUGCAACUUAUGGAGCCGAAGAUUCUAACUUGUAACUUCGGUUGAUGAACCCUUGAUUUUUGAACUUUUCUUAUUGAUCUUGAUGUUUGCUGGUUCUACUACUUCCUACCUAAGAAAAUUGCUUUAGGUCAAGAAAUUGUUAGAACAAGAAUGGUUCGUACAAGUCCUCUAGGAUUUUGAUGAUAACAAAGUAUUGAAGAACAAUUGGAAUACUAACAUAUGUUCAAGUGUGCAGAUCUAAGAAUAUAUCUAUCUUGAAGAAAGAACAUAUGAAGAGCAUCAGAAGGAACAAGAGAAGCUUAGAAGACUAUGUUAAAAGAUCUAAAGGAAGGUCAACCAGAAGUCAACGUCCUUAGAAGAAGGAUGCCUUGCAGAACCUGGAGAGUUAUCUCAAUAGAUUACGUGUAGGACAUCAGACACAUAAGGCGACAAGCUUACUUGAAUAUGAGAGACCCAGAAUCCACGUAAGCUUUUGUCUUAUUCUGUGAGUUGUCUCUAUCAUAGUAACUGAUAGAGCAGUUCUUUUGUCUUCUUCUAUGUACGUGUGCAACCAGACAAAAGACCUCAAGAACAAAGAGAAUGCAACAUAUAAUUCUUCUUUCAACAAAAGAAAUUCAAACGGGAUUAUCCAUAUCAAACAAAGGGUCGACAUUCUUUAUCAAAGCUUCUCAACAACUCUAUUUACGCUAGCACUUUUCUCUAACGUCUCUCAAAUCACUGCCUAUAAAGGAGCUGAAGACAUGAAGAAGAAGUAAAAAGACUCUGCUAUUUUUCUGUGUCAAUACUCUGUCAAAUCAAAUAGCACAAAAUACUUAGGUUUUAUUUUUCAAGUUUAUAUCUUAGAAAUCCUAAGGAGUCUAUUCAUUUGUUUAGUUUACACUACCAUUAUUAAAUCAAGUGUAAUAACAAAUUAACUUGUUUUGCAGUUGUGCAAACCUUGAGCACCUUGGAAGUCUCUUGGAGUUGUCCUUGAGCAAGAGAAAGUCUUAAGUAGUUGCGCUUACGCAAAGGGAAGUCUCUUGGAGUUGUCCUUGAGCAGAAGACUUUGGAUAGUGUCCUAGAGCAGGAAUUCUUAAGAAGUUGUGCUUAAGCAUAGAAGUCUCUUACAACUGUACUUGAGCAAAGAGAAGUGUCCUGGAAGUGUCCUUGAGCAAUUUGUAAUCCAGAGUGAUUAUAGUGAAAUCCCUUGGAAGUGCAAUGAGACUGGACUACUCCUGGAUUGUAGGAGGAACCAGUAUAAAAUUGUUUUGUGUCUACUUUCUCUCGUUUCGUCUCUUUAUCUUUGUGUUCUGUACUUAAUCCGCUGCAUUCAGACUCUAUAUCAAAAUCUGUAUACCUCAUAUUCUGAUCAAGUCUUAACACUCAGAAAAAAAAACAUAAAAAGGCAACAUAAUUAAACCCCAUUCUUAUGUUUUUCUCACUUUCAGUUAUGGUUCAAGUAUGGAGCAGUUUGAUGACAUGACAUUUUACCCCAUAUUUUGUUUAGAUUUAUUAAAUAAAU